rnacentral:rRNA from 1 species
GGNAUUAAAAACAUCUUAGNGGUACAGAACUGUGAUCUCGAUCACUUAUAAUUACUAAUUUGUAUAUAUCGGGGGAUCACUGAAGAUUUUAUCGGAGAGUUUUUGCACUCGAAAGGGUUAAGAUGAAUAUUAAAUAAUCGGACAUAGAGUUCUAACGCUGUGUGUCUAAAGGGAAACAGCCCUAAACAAGAGUUAAUAAGGUUCCAAAAUUAUUGUUGAGUGAAAUAAAGGUUGUACCUUCGAAUACAAUCAGGUAAUAGGCUUAGAAGCGGCCAUUUACUGAUGAUCUCGUAACAGAGCACUGAUUUUAAACAAAAAAAGUUUAAUUAGAAGAUCAAACCUAAAAUUUAGCGGAUCUAAAUAAUAUACCGAAACCUUGUCCAUGUUUAUAAAUAUAUUUAUGUAUUAUAAAUAUGGGGUAGCAGAACAUUGGAUUGAGUUUUAGAUUUAUUCUUUAUAAGAAUAAAAAAUUAAGAAAUUCCAAGAGAUAAUGCUGACAUGAGUAACGAAAAAGAAUAACACUCGCCUAAAGCUUAUGGAAUUUAAUUUUACGGUCUCUAAGUAUAAACAAGUGUUGAUGAUGAGUAAUAGAAAAGAAAGGAAAAAAACGAAUAUAAUAAGUAAAACUUUUUAAAUUAGUGUGAUUAGUUCAGGAAAACUUUUUAGUAAAUGUAGCAUAAGUCAUCCAAUCUUUUACUACCGUACCUAGAAUCUAUCCACAAGUAAGCUAGUAGAGAGAUACGCAAGG